GAUGAACGCUGACAGAAUGCUUAACACAUGCAAGUCAACUUGAAUUUGGGUUUUUAACUUAGGUUUGGGUGGCGGACGGGUGAGUAACGCGUAAAGAACUUGCCUCACAGCUAGGGACAACAUUUGGAAACGAAUGCUAAUACCUAAUAUUAUGAUAAUAGGGCAUCCUAUAAUUAUGAAAGCUAUAAGCGCUGUGAGAGAGCUUUGCGUCCCAUUAGCUAGUUGGAGAGGUAACGGCUCACCAAGGCGAUGAUGGGUAGCCGGCCUGAGAGGGUGAUCGGCCACAAGGGGACUGAGACACGGCCCUUACUCCUACGAGAGGCAGCAGUGGGGAAUAUUGGACAAUGGACCAAGAGUCUGAUCCAGCAAUUCUGUGUGCACGAUGAAGUUUUUCGGAAUGUAAAGUGCUUUCAGUUGGGAAGAAAGAAAUGACGGUACCAACAGAAGAAGUGACGGCUAAAUACGUG
rnacentral:rRNA from 1 species